rnacentral:rRNA from 1 species
ACAAGCGGUGGAGUAUGUGGUUUAAUUCGAUGCAACGCGAAGAACCUUACCUAGGUUGACAUCCGAGACCUCCGAAAGGAAGGGUGCCUUCGGGGAAUUCCGAGACAGGCGCUGCAUGGCUGUCGUCAGCUCGUGCCGUGAGAUGUUGGGUUAAGUCCCGCAACGAGCGCAACCCUUGCCUUAGUUGCCAGCAGUUCGGCUGGGCACUCUAAAGGGACUGCCGGUGUCAAACCGGAGGAAGGUGGGGAUGACGUCAAGUCCUCAUGGCCUUUAUGACCAGGGCUACACACGUACUACAAUGGCCGAUACAAAGGGCAGCGACACUGCGAGGUGAAGCCAAUCCCGUAAAAUCGGUCUCAGUCCGGAUUGGAGUCUGCAACUCGACUCCAUGAAGUUGGAAUCGCUAGUAAUCGCGCAUCAGCAUGGCGCGGUGAAUACGUUCCCGGGCCUU